AUACGGAGGGUGCAAGCGUUAAUCGGAAUUACUGGGCGUAAAGCGUACGUAGGCGGUGAGUUAAGUUAGAUGUGAAAGCCCCGGGCUCAACCUGGGAACUGCAUUUAAAACUGGCUCACUAGAGUUGAGUAGAGGGGAGUGGAAUUUCAGGUGUAGCGGUGAAAUGCGUAGCGAUCUGAAGGAACACCAGUGGCGAAGGCGACUCCCUGGACUCGAACUGACGCUGAGGUACGAAAGCGUGGGUAGCAAACGGGAUUAGAUACCCUAGUAGUCC
rnacentral:rRNA from 1 species